rnacentral:lncRNA from 1 species
CCCACGCGGCGCAGCUCCCAAAGUUGCAGACAGCCCGGCGAACCGCGCAAUGCGCUUCUUCUGCCUGCAGCAGAGAAAAGGAAAGAAAACUCCGCAGGGGCUCCGUUGGCUUCUCCACGAGUGACAACCAUGUUUUCCCAGAUAGAAGACCGGAGCCCUGCUCCUUUGCGAUCCGCCGAGGGCUGCAGAGAGCAUCCUCAUCCAUUUGGGCACCCCUGCCCAGGAAGAGCCCGGCCAUCCCUUUCCGGACUGGAUCCUUAAGAGGUGAAUUUUCUUCCGUGGAUUCCGAUUUGCUCCGUCUGACCAGCCUAGGCAAUCCAGCAUCGCGUGGUACCAGUGCCGCUGGGCACACUGGCUUCACGCCGGCUCCGCCUCACCAGCAAGCGCAUUCCCAGGUGGAGUCUCACUCUCUCGCCCAGACUGGAGUGCAGUGAAGCAAUCUCAGCUCACUGCAACCUCCACCCUCCCGGGUUCAAGUAAUUCUCCUGCUUCAGCCUCCUGAGUAGCUAGGAUUACAGGCAUGCACCAUCAUACCUGGCUGUAGCCCUUAUUUUAAAUUCAAUGUACUGUAAUGAUUUACUUGGUUUAUUGUCUUAACUUUCUGUUCCACUGGAAUACAGGUUCAAUAAGGAGGGAUUUUAAUCAAUUUUGUUCUCUGAAGUGUCUUCAGAACCAAAUGAGUAAAAAAUUAUCAUUGUUGACGUUUUCACUUCGUGCUAGCAUAUGGGCAAUCUCAAUUUAUUUCUAAUAACUCCCUGUAUCUUUCAUGGUCAGGCUCAGGAUGGACCAUGAGCUUUCAAAAAGGAAAAAGGUGGAAAUCCUCAACUAUGCUGCCAUCUGAAUAAGUGUUUCUUUGUAGAUGCACAGAGUCAAGGAAAAUUACAUCCCUGCAUUAUGUAAUGUACCAACAACGCACUUACCCACUGUUUUAAUCUAGGUUAUUCUUGAAAGCAGAGCCUGAGACAAAGGUAGACACAUUCUAUUUAUGAGUCUAACACCCAGGAGCAGGAAUGAGAGAUAGGGGAGUGAACUGGGGAAAAGGGAAACUAAGUCCGAGCAAAACCAGAUACUGCUCUUAUCAAGUGGUCCACCCCUAUUAAUGGCUACAUAAUGCAGAACUUUCUCAGGAUUCUUCUUAAACUUUAUCUCAGAACUGUCUGCCUCAGGGAGAAAGGAGAAGUAUUUCUCCAUCAGCAGCCACCUCCUGUGUGUUGAGGGCUGCUCCUUUGGGGCAUUAACCCACUGCCUCCACCACCCCAACCCUCUGGGCUGCAAAGAGCUAGCUGACAGUCCAGCUGGUACCUUAGCAUCACACAUUGCUGCAUCAGAGAGGUCUUAAGACAGGAAGCUAGAGUCUUGGUGCAUGCUCGAAGUGAGACGGUGUCAGCACAGAGCAGGGUAAAAUCUUCCCGUUAACUCUUCACCAGAGCUAUGACUGGAAUCAGAGGUUGAAAAGAUGUGAGACUGUACCCAAGAAGCAUCUUAUAAGCCUACGUAAUAUACUGUUAGACUCAUCGAAAUCUAUUUCCUCCCUUCUUUAUAAUCAAAACUUCAGUGUCCAGAAUAAAGUUGGCAGAAGGGUUAAAUUGGAAAGUUAAAUGUACUAGAAGGUGUACAUUUAUAAGUUUUGACCUUGAGUCGUGUUCAAGGAGAAAGUGACAUUGGAACUUGGAAAAUUUAAAAAUGAUUCUACUUGAAAAAUUUGACCAUUGCAUAGAAAUAUUAGCUAUCGUCUAAUCUUUUGUAAUCUUAGAAACAAUCGUGAAUUGUUUGGUGAAAAAUGAAAAAAUAACCAUUUCUUAUGUCUCCGUGACCUUUAUAGACCAAUGUCACCAACUUUUCCUAAGGUAAUUGUUUCCUACUGUCAAAUAGCUCUAGUGAUAUAAAUCUUAACAAUCAAUGAAGGGAAAACUGGUGGAAACAUAGGAGGAAAAAUACUGGGAUAAUUUUCAUCACAAAGUAUUGGCAUUAACAUUGGUUAGAAUAGGGGAGAAACUGCAUGACUUGACAACUGGACAUUCCUGUAUGUUGUAUGAGGCCCUGUCUUAACAGAAAUAGUGAUGUCAUCAUCAUCCUCUCUUAUUUGGUCUUGAAUUGCCACCAAUCGGAUAAAACCUUUGAAUUAUUUAACUCAAUAUAUGUUAAGUUUCUACUAUGUGCUGUGUAUUGGUACUAUAAAUAUGAAUAAGACAUAAGAUAUUACAUUCAAAAACAUCAGAAUACAUGUUCUUUUAAAGUAUACCCCAAAACAUUUACCAUGUGUUCUGGGGCGCAUGUUAGGCUGGAUCACAAAUCAAGUCUCAAGAAUUUCAAAAGAUUGAAAUCAUAUAGAGUAUGAAUUAAACCAGAAAUCAAGUACAUAAAGGUAACAAAAAAUUUCCAAAAUGCAUUAAUUUAAGGAACAUACACCUCAUGACCCAUGAGCCAAAAAAUAAAUCACGGCAAAAUUGCAAAAAUAUUUUGAAAUGAAUUUUAAAGAAAAUACUUAGCAUAUUAAAUACUUAGCAUAUUAAAGCUCUAAGUACAUAUGUUAGAAAUUUUACCGAAAGGUUGGCUAUCAGUGUUUCCAGAAGCCAGGGAAAAAGUUUAUACAAUUUGAUCGCUGAGGCAGGGAAACAAAGUGAGACCUCCGAUCGCCCUGCCUUUCUGAGGUGAGCACUCUGGAUCCCAUCGCAGGAGAUCAGAGUCUUGCUGAGUUGAGGAGAGGAAGAUUGGAGUUGAUACUGAGAUAGCUUGAAUUUUCAGGACAAAGUAUCAACAAGGAGGAAGGUAGACAAAAAAAUCCAGAAAUCUAUGUAGAGACCCCAUUGUGUACAUUGCGGAACACUAAGCCUAACAAUUCUCAAAAUUAGCGUGAGAUUGGGAAAUAUCUAAUUUCCAUCCAGCCACAGUGGAGAGUCCUGACUGAAAACCAGGCAUUCGCUAAAGAUCCCAGAAAGGUUGUGUGUUACAUACGUAGGGCUAAACUAUCCUGACUAAAAACUACACUACACUUGCUCCUCACCCCCACAAAAAGCUUAAAAACAAGCCUCAAUAGUAUAAAGCUGAUCUGUAAGUAACUAAACUACCUGCAGAACAAAGUCCAAAUUUAUUAGUUCCAGUACUCCAUGCUUUUAGAUAUUUAACGGGAGAGGAAAAGAGAAAAUAUGAUUAAAGCCUUUGAAAGUCCAUUUCCAAGAAAUAAAAACUGCAGUAGGAAUUCUACAAAACUGAAAAAUCUUCAGGACUGGAAGAUCUAUCCAGAAAAGCCCAGUGGAUUAUAAUAACUUAUUAAAAUAUUUGUUUGGCAAGCCACUGACUAAUACCACUUUAAGAUAUGAAUGCAUUACCAAAAAAAAUUGGAGUGAGUAGUUUUUACAAGUCUUUGAAAUAAUCAUAUUUGUAUUUUGACACUAAUUUGAAACAAGGAGCUGGCUUGAAAUAUUAAACCUAAGUGAUCAGAGACAAUGAGCUAUCAGACUGCAUGAUCAAGGAGAAAAUGAGACACUGAGUGGGACUCAGGGAUUGCUCCAGGCCACACAGUCAGCAGGAGGCAAAGCCCAGAUUCAAAUGCAGAUUACUCAGCUCCACAAUCCACAUCCUCACAGGAGGCUGCACUCCUUGCCCAAGCGUCAGACAGGAGCAAAGAGAAAGAAGGCAACCAGCUGGCUACUUUCUUCCCUUCUUGGAUGCCUCCAACAGGGUGAGAAGGACUAAACAAAUGACCAAGUGUCAUCCCAUUUUGGACAUACUUAAAACACCCCAUGGAAUUUUUAUUCUGACUUUCUUCUGCCUGUGUGGCAUUUAUGUUUAAAUAAAAGAGAAUUCAACUCGUAUUAAAACACUAACUCAGAGAAGAAAUUUAACUGCAAAUUUGGUUAAUGACCAUGGAUUCCUAAUGAGAAGAAAAGCUAGACACUGAGAGUUUAGAAUAAACUCAAGAAUCUUAAAAAUUUUCCCAUGGAACUGCCUUUGCACCUCUAUAAAAAAUUAAUUGACCAUAUGGUAAAGCUCUCUGCAACGGAUGCAUCGCUGGUGCUCUGCUCAGUUCCUCUUUACCUGCUUCUGCACUCAUGCUGUGAUGGGAACUGACCGCCUGAAGUCUGCAUCAUGACUUGAUGGUUACCCAGGGGUUUAUGUGUGUCCAACUGAACACCGUGGUUCUGGGAUUGAGGAUCCGCACAAACACAGGCAGGAGUUUGGAGGGAAGAAGGGGGCACAGCAGGAGUGUAUCUCAAGCCCACCUCAAAGGCAGCAGAGCAUUCCAAGUUGCUGAAAACCUGUGCAAAUGGGGCCUCUAAAACAAACAUUGUACUGUGAGCUCUCGGGGAAGGGGCAGGAAAAGGAUGUUGAUAAUUAAGGGGGCAUUUUCUUGAGGCGGCAGAUGAGGAGGGAGGCUUACUAUUUUUAAUCCCCUCAGCCCCAGGACAUGAUAAUCAGAGGAGAUCAUGUCCAAUCUUGAAUCAAUUCCCUGUUCAAAAAGAGGUGCUAAUACCCCAGGGACCAGACUCUGAAAAUACCAUGAAAAUACUCUGAAAAUACCGUGCUGGUCAUUCCUGAGUCCCUGUUCUAUGCCCUACAACAUAUUAG